rnacentral:rRNA from 1 species
GACGAACGCUGGCGGCGUGCCUAAUACAUGCAAGUAGAACGCUGAAGGAGGAGCUUGCUUCUCUGGAUGAGUUGCGAACGGGUGAGUAACGCGUAGGUAACCUGCCUGGUAGCGGGGGAUAACUAUUGGAAACGAUAGCUAAUACCGCAUAACAGUAGAUGUUGCAUGACAUUUGCUUAAAAGGUGCAAUUGCAUCACUACCAGAUGGACCUGCGUUGUAUUAGCUAGUUGGUGGGGUAACGGCUCACCAAGGCGACGAUACAUAGCCGACCUGAGAGGGUGAUCGGCCACACUGGGACUGAGACACGGCCCAGACUCCUACGGGAGGCAGCAGUAGGGAAUCUUCGGCAAUGGACGGAAGUCUGACCGAGCAACGCCGCGUGAGUGAAGAAGGUUUUCGGAUCGUAAAGCUCUGUUGUAAGAGAAGAACGAGUGUGAGAGUGGAAAGUUCACACUGUGACGGAAUCUACCGAAAGGAC